UUUCCCUCUGUAUGCCCAUUGCAUGGAUGUC
rnacentral:piRNA from 1 species